rnacentral:rRNA from 1 species
CCUACGGGAGGCAGCAGUGAGGAAUAUUGGUCAAUGGACGAGAGUCUGAACCAGCCAAGUAGCGUGAAGGAUGACUGCCCUACGGGUUGUAAACUUCUUUUAUAUGGGAAUAAAAUGUUCCACGUGUGGCUUUUUGUAUGUAUCUUAUGAAUAAGGAUCGGCUAACUCCGUGCCAGCAGCCGCGGUAAUACGGAGGAUCCGAGCGUUAUCCGGAUUUAUUGGGUUUAAAGGGAGCGUAGGUGGAUUGUUAAGUCAGUUGUGAAAGUUUGCGGCUCAACCGUAAAAUUGCAGUUGAAACUGGCAGUCUUGAGUACAGUAGAGGUAGGCGGAAUUCGUGGUGUAGCGGUGAAAUGCUUAGAUAUCACGAAGAACUCCGAUUGCGAAGGCAGCUCACUAGACUGCAACUGACACUGAGGCUCGAAAGUGUGGGUAUCAAACAGGAUUAGAUACCCUUGUAGUC